UUUCCGUAGGUGAACCUGCGGAAGGAUCAUUCAUAAUAAAGUGUUUUAUGGCACUUUUUACAAAUCCAUAUCCACCUUGUGUGCAAUGUUAGAUCUCGUCAAUCUUGGCGAGAUUUUUAUACAUCAACUCAUUCUUUAACUAAUUUGUCUGAAAAAUAUUAUGAAUACUUAAUUCAAAAUACAACUUUCAACAACGGAUCUCUUGGCUCUC
rnacentral:misc_RNA from 1 species